rnacentral:rRNA from 1 species
CCUACGGGUGGCAGCAGUGGGGAAUAUUGGACAAUGGGGGAAACCCUGAUGCAGCGACGCAGCGUGAAUGAAGAAGUAUUUAGGGGUGUAAAGCUCUAUCAGCAAGGGAGAAGAAAGACGGUACCUGACUAAGAAGCACCGGCUAACUACGUGCCAGCAGCCGCGGUAAUACGUAGGAGGCAAGCGUUAUCCGGAUUUACUGGGUUUAACGGGAGCGUAGACGGCUGUUGAAGUCUGAAGUGAAAGCCCAGGGCUCAACCCUAGGACUGCUUUGGAAACUGUGGAGCUAGAGUGCUGGAGAGGUAAGCGGAAUUCCUAGUGUAGCGGUGAAAUGCGUAGAUAUUAGGAGGAACACCAGUGGCGAAGGCGGCCUACUGGACAGUAACUGACGUUGAGGCUCGAAAGUGUGGGGAGCAAACAGGAUUAGAUACCCCUGUAGUC